rnacentral:rRNA from 1 species
CGUUGAACAAACGAACCAUUAGUAGUUGCUGCACCACUUGGGUACCCUGAUCCAACAUCGAGGUCGUAGAUAUUCUUGUUGAUGCGGACUCUUGAAGAAUGUGGCGCUGUUAUNNCUGGAGUAGCUUGGUCCAUUGAUCAGUAUUACUGGGUCAUGUAGAAGUCUAAUUGGACUGGUUGGUCUAAUUAUGUAGUAGAGGUUUUGUUUCUCUAUAGUUGCCCCAACUUAAAGGUAGUGUCAUGUGUUGGUUGACAUUAAGGUUAAAAGUUUUACAGGGUCUUUUUGUCUUGCUUCAUUAUGUCUGCUUUUGUACAGACAGAUCAGUUUCAUUGGUUAUCUUUAAGAGACAGUUUCUUUCUCAUGUGG